UACGUAGGGGGCAAGCGUUGUCCGGAAUCAUUGGGCGUAAAGCGCGCGUAGGCGGUCAGCACAAGUCAGUUGUGAAAUCUCCGGGCUUAACCCGGAAAGGUCAACUGAUACUGUGCGACUAGAGUGCGGUAGGGGAGAUUGGAAUUCCUGGUGUAGCGGUGGAAUGCGCAGAUAUCAGGAGGAACACCGAUGGCGAAGGCAGAUCUCUGGGCCGUAACUGACGCUGAGGAGCGAAAGCAUGGGGAGCGAACAGG
rnacentral:rRNA from 1 species